rnacentral:rRNA from 1 species
AGGAGGCAGCAGUGAGGAAUAUUGGGCAAUGGGCGCAAGCCUGACCCAGCGACGCCGCGUGGGCGAAGAAGGCCUUCGGGUUGUAAAGCCCUUUUCUGCCGGACGAGCGAGGACGGUACGGCAGGAAUCAGUCACGGCUAACUACGUGCCAGCAGCCGCGGUAAAACGUAGGUGGCAAGCGUUAUCCGGAAUCACUGGGCGUAAAGGGCAUCUAGGCGGUUGCGCAAGAUGCGUGUGAAAGCCUCCGGCUCAACCGGGGGAGGACAUGCAAGACUGCGCGACUCGAGGGUCGGAGAGGGACGCGGAAUUCCCGGUGUAGUGGUGAAAUGCGUAGAGAUCGGGAGGAACACCCGUGGCGAAGGCGGCGUCCUGGCCGAACCCUGACGCUGAAGUGCGAAAGCGUGGGGAGCAAACGGGAUUAGAUACCCUCGUAC